ensembl:lncRNA
CAAUAAUGAAGAAUUAGGUCCCACAGUUAUGAUGACAAAUAACUUUAUUUCUGCUGUUGAGUGUUAGCAACAGUUUUAACUGGAAAAAGGAGUGGCCGUGGUUUAAGGACAAGGUCAGCAUCCCUCCAAGGUACCCUGAGGUGGCCAGUCCUGGAACAACCAGUCAUGUUCCCAGCAGGGAAAGGCACCGCCUGGGUGCACAGGGAACAAAAAAUAUUGUUUGACUGGGCUGAAUAACUGACAGUAGUGCGAAUUGCAAAGGGACGACAUCAACACAGAUUGAAUAUUCAGCGUGAAUGCUGACAUUUCUUGAACUAUGCAUAAUAGCUGGGAAGAACAAGCACAUUUCCGGAGACUUGUUGGGAGAAAUCCAUAAGAAGUAUUAGACUAUGACCAGGUAUGUCCUACCUAUUCCUGUGUUUCUUUAAACCAAGUGCAGGUUCCAUUAACCAUUCUCCAAAGCUUUUUGUUGGUUGUCGAUAGCAGCUUCUGCAGAGAUGUGCGGCAAUG